UUACGGCCAUAUCACGUUCAAAUACCAGUCCCCGUACGAUCACCGAAGUGAAGCAACGUCAAGCCUGGUCAGUACCUAGAUAGGUGUCCGUUUAGGAAUGUCUAGUACUGUAA